rnacentral:rRNA from 1 species
AGUGAACGCUGGCGGUAGGCCUAACACAUGCAAGUCGAACGGCAGCACAGUAAGAGCUUGCUCUUACGGGUGGCGAGUGGCGGACGGGUGAGGAAUACAUCGGAAUCUACUUUUUCGUGGGGGAUAACGUAGGGAAACUUACGCUAAUACCGCAUACGACCUACGGGUGAAAGCAGGGGAUCUUCGGACCUUGCGCGAUUGAAUGAGCCGAUGUCGGAUUAGCUAGUUGGCGGGGUAAAGGCCCACCAAGGCGACGAUCCGUAGCUGGUCUGAGAGGAUGAUCAGCCACACUGGAACUGAGAAACGGUCCAGACUCCUACGGGAGGCAGCAGUGGGGAAUAUUGGACAAUGGGCGCAAGCCUGAUCCAGCCAUACCGCGUGGGUGAAGAAGGCCUUCGGGUUGUAAAGCCCUUUUGUUGGGAAAGAAAAGCAGCAGGUUAAUACCCCGCUGUUCUGACGGUACCCAAAGAAUAAGCACCGGCUAACUUCGU